rnacentral:rRNA from 1 species
AGGGUUUGAUCCUGGCUCAGAACGUACGCUGGCGGCACGCCUAACACAUGCAAGUCGAACGAAGUAGCAAUACUUAGUGGCAGACGGGUGAGUAACAUGUAGGUAUCUACCCUUUGGCCUGGAAUAACACGAGGAAACUUGUGCUAAUACCGGAUAAGUCUUUACGGAGAAAGCUUUAUGCACCAUUGGAUGAGCCUGCAUUUGAUUAGUUUGUUGGUGGGGUAAUGGCUCACCAAGACUGUGAUCAAUAGCUGAUUUGAGAGGAUGAUCAGCCACAUUGGGACUGAGACACGGCCCAAACUCCUACGGGAGGCAGCAGUGGGGAAUCUUGCACAAUGGAGGAAACUCUGAUGCAGCGAUGCCGCGUGAGUGAAGAAGGCCUUUGGGUUGUAAAGCUCUUUCGUCGGGGAAGAAAAUGACUGUACCCGAAUAAGAAGGUCCGGCUAACUUCGUGCCAGCAGCCGCGGUAAUACGAAGGGACCUAGCGUAGUUCGGAAUUACUGGGCUUAAAGAGUUCGUAGGUGGUUGAAAAAGUUGGUGGUGAAAUCCCAGAGCUUAACUCUGGAACUGCCAUCAAAACUUUUCAGCUAGAGUUUGAUAGAGGAAAGCAGAAUUUCUAGUGUAGAGGUGAAAUUCGUAGAUAUUAGAAAGAAUACCAAUUGCGAAGGCAGCUUUCUGGAUCAUUACUGACACUGAGGAACGAAAGCAUGGGUAGCGAAGAGGAUUAGAUACCCUCGUAGUCCAUGCCGUAAACGAUGUGUGUUAGACGUUGGAAAUUUAUUUUCAGUGUCGCAGCGAAAGCGAUAAACACACCGCCUGGGGAGUACGACCGCAAGGUUAAAACUCAAAUGAAUUGACGGGGACCCGCACAAGUAGUGGAGCAUGUGGUUUAAUUCGAAGAUACGCGCAGAACCUUACCAACACUUGACAUGUUCGUCGCGACUUUAAGAGAUUAAAGUUUUCGGUUCGGCCGGACGAAACACAGGUGCUGCAUGGCUGUCGUCAGCUCGUGUCGUGAGAUGUUGGGUUAAGUCCCGCAACGAGCGCAACCCUCACUUUUAGUUGCCAUCAUUAAGUUGGGCACUCUGAAAGAACUGCCAGUGAUAAGCUGGAGGAAGGUGGGGAUGACGUCAAGUCCUCAUGGCCCUUACGUGUUGGGCUACACACGUGCUACAAUGAUAUUUACAAAAGGAAGCAAAACGGCGACGUUUAGCAAAUCCUAAAAAAAUAUCUCAGUUCGGAUUGCACUCUGCAACUCGAGUGCAUGAAGCUGGAAUUACUAGUAAUCGUGGAUCAGCGUGCCACGGUGAAUGCGUUCCCGGGUCUUGUACACACCGCCCGUCACACCAUGGGAGUUGGUUCUACCUUAAGGCAAGGUUUAAAAUCCUUGACCACGGUAUAGUCAGCGACUGGGGUGAAGUCAUAACAAGGUAACCGUA